rnacentral:rRNA from 1 species
GAUGAACGCUGGCGGCGUGCCUAAUACAUGCAAGUCGAGCGAACGGACGAGAAGCUUGCUUUUCUGAUGUUAGCGGCGGACGGGUGAGUAACACGUGGAUAACCUACCUAUAAGACUGGGAUAACUUCGGGAAACCGGAGCUAAUACCGGAUAAUAUUUUGAACCGCAUGGUUCAUAAGUGAAAGACGGUCUUGCUGUCACUUAUAGAUGGAUCCGCGCUGCAUUAGGUAGUUGGUAAGGUAACGGCUUACCAAGGCAACGAUGCAUAGCCGACCUGAGAGGGUGAUCGGCCACACUGGAACUGAGACACGGUCCAGACUCCUACGGGAGGCAGCAGUAGGGAAUCUUCCGCAAUGGGCGAAAGCCUGACGGAGCAACGCCGCGUGAGUGAUGAAGGUCUUCGGAUCGUAAAACUCUGUUAUUAGGGAAGAACAUAUGUGUAAGUAACUGUGCACAUCUUGACGGUACCUAAUCAGAAAGCCACGGCUAACUACGUG